UCCGUAGGCGGGUAAUUAAGUCAGUGGUGAAAUCUCUCGGCUCAACCGGGAAACUGCCAUUGAUACUGUUAGUCUUGAGUUCGGUUGAGGUAGGCGGAAUGUGUAAUGUAGCGGUGAAAUGCUUAGAUAUUACACAGAACACCAAUUGCGUAGGCAGCUUACUAGACCGACACUGACGCUGAGGCACGAAAGCGUGGGUAGCGAACAGGAUUAGAUACCCUGGUAGUCC
rnacentral:rRNA from 1 species